rnacentral:rRNA from 1 species
GGCCUCGGCGUAAGAGUGGUUAAGAUUGUUUCAAACUAAGGCCCAAAGACUUUUUAGCUGUUAUACGCGCGAGAAGACAUGAAGCCCAACUACGAAAGUGGCCUUAAAACCCUGACCCCACGAAAGCUAGGGCA